UGGGUAACGUCAACACCCAGAGGUAUUAACCCUAGGCUUUUCUUCCCCACUGAAAGUGCUUUACAACCCGCAGGCCUUCUUCACACACGCGGCAUUGCUGGAUCAGGCUUUCGCCCAUUGUCCAAUAUUCCCC
rnacentral:rRNA from 1 species